UACGUAGGUGGCAAGCGUUAUCCGGAAUUACUGGGUGUAAAGGGAGCGCAGGCGGGAUAGCAAGUCAGCUGUGAAAACUAUGGGCUCAACCCAUAAACUGCAGUUGAAACUGUUAUUCUUGAGUGGAGUAGAGGCAAGCGGAAUUCCGAGUGUAGCGGUGAAAUGCGUAGAUAUUCGGAGGAACACCAGUGGCGAAGGCGGCUUGCUGGGCUCUAACUGACGCUGAGGCUCGAAGGUGUGGGGAGCAAACAGG
rnacentral:rRNA from 1 species